rnacentral:rRNA from 1 species
CGGGACGGGUGAGUAAUGUCUGGGAAACUGCCUGAUGGAGGGGGAUAACUGCUGGAAACGGUAGCUAAUACCGUAUAACGUCGCAAGACCAAAGAGGGGGACCUUCGGGCCUCUUGCCAUCGGAUGUGCCCAGAUGGGAUUAGCUAGUAGGUGGGGUAACGGCUCACCUAGGCGACGAUCCCUAGCUGGUCUGAGAGGAUGACCAGCCACACUGGAACUGAGACACGGUCCAG